GUGCUUCCUUCGGCAGAACAUAUACCAAAAUUGGAACAAUACAGAGAUUUGCAUGGCCCCUGCACAAGGAUGACAUGCAAAUUUGUGAAUCAUUUUAUAUAUAA